GAUUAAGUUAUUAAGGGCGCACGGUGGAUGCCUUGGCACUAGAAGCCGAUGAAGGACGUUACUAACGACGAUAUGCUUUGGGGAGCUGUAAGUAAGCUUUGAUCCAGAGAUUUCCGAAUGGGGAAACCCAG
rnacentral:rRNA from 1 species